GGAUUGUGAGAUGGCUAGAAUAGGAAACUGGACCAGCAGAUUGUGGAAAGAGCCAUGAAGGCAAUCAGUGGUCAUUCGCUCGGGAGGCUCCAGUGUCCAUUCACUGUCUUAAAGCUAGCUUUUCAGAGCCUGGGGAGGCCAUCUUUCCCUGCCUGAAUGCCUUUUUUGUUGCAAAACAGUGAACUGUUUCUGAAGCCCAGCAUAAAGGAGAUAAGCACCUGGGGAGAUGUUGGCACCUUUCACCAACCAGGAAGAUGAAAGUAAACAGUGUGGACUGGAAGAGACUGCCAAUUUGAUGCCUCUAUCUUCUUU